rnacentral:rRNA from 1 species
UACGGGGGGGCAAGCGUUGUUCGGAAUUACUGGGCGUAAAGGGCUCGUAGGCGGCCAACUAAGUCGGACGUGAGAUCCCUCGGCUUAACCGGGGAACUGCGUCCGAUACUGGAUGGCUUGAGUUCGGGAGAGGGAUGCGGAAUUCCAGGUGUAGCGGUGAAAUGCGUAGAUAUCUGGAGGAACACCGGUGGCGAAGGCGGCAUCCUGGACCAACACUGACACUGAGGAGCGAAAGCCAGGGGAGCAAACGGG